rnacentral:rRNA from 1 species
UACGGAGGGUGCAAGCGUUAUCCGGAAUCACUGGGUUUAAGGGUGCGUAGGCGGCACAAUAAGUCAGAAGUGAAAGGCUGUAAGCUUAACAUGGAAUUGCUUUUGAUACUGUUGAGCUUGAAUUGGGUUGAGGUUAGCGGAAUGAGUCAUGUAGCGGUGAAAUGCAUAGAUAUGACUUAGAACACCAAUUGCGAAGGCAGCUAACUGGGCCUUGAUUGACGCUGAGGCACGAAGCGUGGGGAGCGAACAGGAUUAGAUACCCCGGGUAGUCC